AUUUUAAAAAAGUGAAAAAUAAUUUCCGGACUAUUAAAAAAAAAAAUAAUCAAACAAAAAUAAACUAAAUUACACUAAAAAUGAUUCUCAAAAUAAGAUAAAGGAUCCGCUGAUCCUUGUUUCUGUACAGGCCUGUUCCACAGAUGGAUGAAAGGAGAGGAAGAUACCUCCAGGCACCCACACCCACACCACCACACCGCACGCACACAUUCGCAAUCGAACUCGAACUCGUCAACGCUUUUGCACAACUAUACUAUUGCAGGAUGGAACCGGCCGAAGGCACAGGGGAUGGCAUCCUGGACAAGAGCUUCAUUGGGCAGAUAAACCAAGAAGCGAACUAUAAGCAGCCUCUACCUUGGUAUUGAAGGCUCUGCUGUCGAUGCCAUCGGCACAGGAUCCGCUGAUCCUUGUUUCUGUACAGGCCUCUUCCACAGAUGGAAGAUACCUCCAGGCACCCACACCCACACCACCACACCACCACACCGCACGCACACAUUCGCAAUCGAACCCGUCAUCGCUUUUGCACAACUAUACUAUUGCAGGAUGGAACCGGCCGAAGGCACAGGGGAUGGCAUCCUGGACAAGAGCUUCAUUGGGCAGAUAAACCAAGAAGCGAACUAUAAGCAGCCUCUACCUUGGUAUUGAAGGCUCUGCUGUCGAUGCCAUCGGCACAGGAUCCGCUGAUCCUUGUUUCUGUACAGACCUGUUCCACAGAUGGAUGAAAGGAGAGGAAGAUACCUCCAGGCACCCACACCCACACCCACACCACCACACCGCACGCACACAUUCGCAAUCGAACUCGAACUCGUCAACGCUUUUGCACAACUAUACUAUUGCAGGAUGGAACCGGCCGAAGGCACAGGGGAUGGCAUCCUGGACAAGAGCUUCAUUGGGCAGAUAAACCAAGAAGCGAACUAUAAGCAGCCUCUACCUUGGUAUUGAAGGCUCUGCUGUCGAUGCCAUCGGCACAGGAUCCGCUGAUCCUUGUUUCUGUACAGGCCUCUUCCACAGAUGGAUGAAAGGAGAGGAAGAUACCUCCAGACACCCACACCCACACCUCCACACCGCACGCACACAUUCGCAAUCGAACUCGAACUCGAACUCGUCGCUUUUGCACAACUAUACUAUUGCAGGAUGGAACCGGCCGAAGGCACAGGGGAUUGCAUCCUGGACAAGAGCUUCAUUGGGCAGAUAAACCAAGAAGCGAACUAUAAGCAGCCUCUACCUUGGUAUUGAAGGCUCUGCUGUCGAUGGCAUCGGCACUC